UACGAGAGGCCCAAACGUUAUUCGGAUUUAUUGGGCGUAAAGAGCUCGUAGGCGGUUGGGUAAGUCGGGUGUGAAAACUCCAGGCUCAACUUGGAGACGCCACCCGAUACUGCUCUGACUUGAGUUCGGUAGGGGAGUGGGGAAUUCCUGGUGUAGCGGUGAAAUGCGCAGAUAUCAGGAGGAACACCGGUGGCGAAGGCGCCACUCUGGGCCGAAACUGGCGCUGAGGAGCGAAAGCGUGGGGAGCGAACAGG
rnacentral:rRNA from 1 species